AUUUUAAAGUGCUACAAAAGUAUUUCAGAGGCGAAUGCUUCCUGUUACAUGACAUUUUGCUGAUGUGAAAUGUGUGCUAUAUUAGUGACACAUUUGGGAACUCCCCUUGUUUGUUGUGAAAAAAAGACAAAAAAAAAAGUAAAAGGCAAAGAUAAUGUGUAGGCGGACAUUAUGUGGUAGUAAGGUGCUUACGGCAAACUAUACGUGACUGCUAUUAAAAACAACCUUUCAACAGGUUGAAUUCGAGAUUAUUUUUUUUCGG